rnacentral:rRNA from 1 species
CAACCGCCGCGGUAAUACGUAGGGUGCGAGCGUUAAUCGGAAUUACUGGGCGUAAAGCGUGCGCAGGCGGUUCGUUAAGACAGAUGUGAAAUCCCCGGGCUUAACCUGGGAACUGCAUUUGUGACUGGCGAGCUAGAGUAUGGCAGAGGGGGGUGGAAUUCCGCGUGUAGCAGUGAAAUGCGUAGAUAUGCGGAGGAACACCGAUGGCGAAGGCAGCCCCCUGGGCCAACACUGACGCUCAUGCACGAAAGCGUGGGGAGCAAACAGGAUUAGAUACCCGAGUAGUCCCUGUCUCUUAUAA